UGGCUCAGAACGAACGCUGGCGGCGUGCUUAACACAUGCAAGUCGAACGGGAAACGUUCCUUCGGGAACCGAGUACAGUGGCGCACGGGUGAGUAACACGUAGGUGACCUACCUAUCGCUGGGGAACAACCCCGGGAAACCGGAGCUAAUUCCGCAUACGCUUUCCAACUCGCGGGUUGGAAAGGAAAGAUGGCCUCUUCAUGAAAGCUAUCGGCGAAUGAUGGGCCUGCGCGUCAUUAGCUUGUUGGUGAGGUAACGGCUCACCAAGGCUGCGAUGACUAGCUGGUCUGAGAGGAUGAUCAGCCACACUGGCACUGGAACACGGGCCAGACUCCUACGGGAGGCAGCAGUGGGGAAUAUUGCGCAAUGGGCGAAAGCCUGACGCAGCAAACGCCGCGUGAGUGACGAAGGCCUUCGGGUCGUAAAGCUCUGUCGAGAGGGACGAAACACCGGUGGGAAACAAUACCUCGCCGGUUUGACGGUACCUCCAAAGGAAGCACCGGGUAACUCCGUGCCAGCAGCCGCGGAAAUACGGAGGGGUGCCAAGGCGUUGUNCGGAAUUACUGGGCGUAAAGGGCGUGUAGGCGGAUCAAGAAGUCGGGGUGUGAAAGCCCUGGGCUCAACCCAGGAAAGUGC
rnacentral:rRNA from 1 species